GAUAAACGCUGGCGGCGUGCAUGAGACAUGCAAGUCGAACGAACGAGCUUGCUCGUUAGUGGCGGACGGCUGAGUAACGCGUAGGUGACCUGCCCCGAAGUGGGGGAUAACUGCCCGAAAGGGUGGCUAAUACCGCAUGUGGCGACACGUUCAAUCGUGUCAUCAAAGCCGCGAGGCGCUUCGGGAGGGGCCUGCGUCCGAUUAGCUCGUUGGUGGGGUAAUGGCUCACCAAGGCGACGAUCGGUAGGUGGUCUGAGAGGACGAUCACCCAGACUGGGACUGAGACACGGCCCAGACUCCUACGGGAGGCAGCAGUCGGGAAUUUUGCUCAAUGGGCGAAAGCCUGAAGCAGCAACGCCGCGUGAGGGAUGAAGGCCUUCGGGUUGUAAACCUCUUUUCUCAGGGACGAUGAUGACGGUACCUGAGGAAUAAGUCACGGCUAACUACGUGCCAGCAGCCGCAGUAACAC
rnacentral:rRNA from 1 species